rnacentral:rRNA from 1 species
UACAGAGGGGGCUAGCGUUAUUCGGAAUUAUUGGGCGUAAAGGGCGCGUAGGCGGCCAUGCGUGUCUUCCGUGAAAUCCCUCAGCUUAACUGGGGAACUGCGUCUGACACUGGAUGGCUUGAGUUUGGGAGAGGGAUGCGGAAUUCCAGGUGUAGCGGUGAAAUGCGUAGAUAUCUGGAGGAACACCGGUGGCGAAGGCGGCAUCCUGGACCAACACUGACACUGAGGAGCGAAAGCCAGGGGAGCAAACGGG